rnacentral:rRNA from 1 species
AUUGAACGCUGGCGGCAUGCCUUACACAUGCAAGUCGAACGGCAGCACGGGGGCAACCCUGGUGGCGAGUGGCGAACGGGUGAGUAACAUAUCGGAACAUACCCUAGAGUGGGGGAUAACGUAGCGAAAGUUACGCUAAUACCGCAUACGAUCUAAGGAUGAAAGUGGGGGAUCUUCGGACCUCAUGCUCAUGGAGUGGCCGAUAUCUGAUUAGCUAGUUGGUGAGGUAAAGGCUCACCAAGGCGACGAUCAGUAGCUGGUUUGAGAGAACGACCAGCCACACUGGAACUGAGACACGGUCCAGACUCCUACGGGAGGCAGCAGUGGGAAUUUUGGACAAGUGGGGGCAACCCUGAUCCAGCAAUGCCGCGUGAGUGAAGAAGGCCGUUC